AUUCCGGUUGAUCCUGCCGGAGGACAUUGCUAUUGGGAUUCGAUUUAGCCAUGCUAGUCGAACGAGUUCAGACUCGUGGCGAAUAGCUCAGUAACACGUGGCCAAGCUCCCCUUCAGUCAGCGAUACCCUCGGGAAACUGAGGUUAACAGCUGAUACAAAACGCCAGCUGGAAUGCGGCGUUUCAGAAAGACAUCGCUGAAGGAUGCGGCUGCGGCCGAUUAGGUAGACGGUGGGGUAACGGCCCACCGUGCCAGUAAUCGGUACGGGUGAUGAGAGUCAGAGCCCGGAGACGGAAUCUGAGACAAGAUUCCGGGCCCUACGGGGCGCAGCAGGCGCGAAACCUUUACACUGCACGGAAGUGCGAUAGGGGAAUCCCAAGUGCGAGGGCAUAUUAGCCCUCGCUUUUCUCGACUGUAAGGUGGUCGACGAAUAAGAGCUGGGCAAGACCGGUGCCAGCCGCCGCGGUAAUACCGGCAGCUCAAGUGAUGUCCCAUAUUAUUGGGCCUAAAGCGUCCGCAGCU
rnacentral:rRNA from 1 species